rnacentral:lncRNA from 1 species
AGGAGGCAAAGAAGUUGGAUAUCUUAGUGAAAGACAAGAAUGGGGAACCAUAUAUGGUGCCCAAUACAGCAUUUGAUGUAGGGAUGCUGGAUUUGACACAUCCACAUACCGCGAAUUGGUUUAAGCAGAUUCUGCAAGAAAUGGUAGAUGAUGGAGUGAGAGGAUGGAUGGCAGAUUUCGGCGAAGGCCUGCCAGUGGAUGCCUGCUUGUAUUCAGGUAUGAGAAGCACGUGAAUAAAGCAACUUAAAAGAGGAUCAAAUACUAGCACCCCAGUAUUUAAGUUUUCUUUCACCUUAUUGCUGAAUUAACCAAAGUUAACUCCAACAUUUGUGUUUAACUAUUCAGGCGAAGAUCCAAUUGCAGCACAUAAUAGAUAUCCUGAAUUAUGGGCAAAACUCAACAGGGAAUUUGUGGAUGAAUGGCGAAGCACACAUGUAGGCCAAGAAAGAGAAGAUCCAGAGGAGACUUUGGUUUUCUUCAUGAGGGCUGGUUAUAGGGAUACUCCUAAGUGGGCAAUGCUAUUUUGGGAGGGAGACCAAAUGGUGAGUUGGCAAAAAAAUGAUGGUAUCAAGAGUGCAGUGGUUGGCUUGCUUAGCGGAGGACUUUCAGGAUAUGCUCUUAAUCACAGUGAUAUUGGAGGCUAUUGUGCAGUAAACUUACCAUUUUUCAAGUAUCACAGAAGUGAAGAGCUUCUCUUGCGAUGGAUGGAAUUUUCCGCUUUCACCACCGUGUUCCGGACACAUGAAGUAAGUUUAACGUUUCAUUCCCUGGAAAUUAAAUUCCAUGAUUUUUUUUCUUCUUUCCACUCUCAAUGCUGAAAGAUUUGACGAGUUUUGCCAUUUCUGAACAUAUUCAUUCAGGGAAACAAGCCAUCUUGCAACAGCCAGUUCUACUCCAAUAAUAGAACACUGUCACAUUUCGCACGUCUUGCAAAGAUCUACAAAGCAUGGAAGUUUUACAGGAUUCAACUAGUUAAGGUAAUAUACGAUCACAGUUUGGUUUUUCAAAAUAAAAAAUUUAAACCAAAAGAUCUAAGAAAUAGUACCUUGUUGAAUUACACAGGAAGCCUGUCAGAAAGGGCUACCAAUUUGUCGACAUCUCUUCCUUCACUAUCCAGAAGAUGAACAUGUACAUAGCUUAACACAUGAGCAGUUCCUAGUUGGCACAGAGAUACUUGUGGUACCCGUGCUAGACAAAGGCAAAGAAUAUGUUAAGGUCUAUUUUCCGAUAGGAGAAAGCUCUUCAUGGAAGCAUAUUUGGACAGGAAAACUGUAUUCAACACAAGGUUCCGAAGCUUGGGUGGAAGCAUCAAUAGGAUAUCCUGCCAUUUUUGUUAAAGUUGGUUCUCCUGUUGGAGAAACCUUCCUGGGAAAACUUAACAAAUACAAUGUCUUAUAAUUCAACAGCCUAGAGAUAGAUGAUGUAAUUGGUUUUAGGGCACAUAACCAUGAAAGUAGCAUUUAACAUUCUUUCUAUUCCAUAAGUACAUGGAUGUUGGGGAUAAUACAUGUGUAAAGUAGUAAAGAAUUUAUUUAGUAGAAUCAUUUGACUUUAUACCAAAGACUAUAAUCGCAUUAAAAUUUCACCAGAAGUUGAACAAACGGAAAUUAUUUGUAGAGUUUGUGACCACCCUUCUGCAUGAGGGAAUAAAUACAGCAGUCUGUAGGAAUAAGUAAAUCCCUUAGAUAUUCCUGAUUAGAGAUUUGAAUCUUUGCACCUUUAAGCGCCCGUAGACUAUCAUUUCAUUAAAAUUUCACCAGAAGUUGAACAACAAUCUUAUAUAUGUGACAUAUAUGCCAUUUAUUAGUCAGAUCUUCUGAAUAGGUACAACCACGCGCCUCGUACCCAACAAAAGAAACUAGAUUGCCCUUGUCUGCGUGCAUGAGCAAAAAUUUUCUAACAAUUGGUGAACUGUUAACAAAAUUGUAAAAAUGCUCAACUAGGUGCUGUUAGGAAGAGAAUGUUGACAUGCUUCAAAACUGUUAUACACCAAAACCACAUUCUUCAAGCUUAAUUAUCAGUUAUUGAUUUUGGCUAAGUGGAAUGCAUGAACCAGUAAGUACAGUUUGAUUUUAGCUGCUGCCAACCAAAACAACCAAAGUCCCAUUAUUUCAAAAGGUUGCUAUAUAUAGUUACAAUUAUUCCAUAUGUCACAUGCUGCGUGUUGGAGCUUUGAGAGGAAAAAAUUGACUUAAGUACUUGCCUUUAGUGAGUUAACAUCCAAACCUGACUCUCUCAACCAUCUAAGUUUUCUGAACAGUGUGUUCCAACUAAAAGUAGCAAAAAAGUGAGCAAAUAAUCAAAGCUUCUAGCUUUCAGUUACAUUCAAAGAAUAUAUUCAUUGAUACAAAACCUUAUUUUCUUGUCAGCUGCUUAGGACACAAUUACUGAUAUAUUAAGUUCAAACUCAUAUGAUGUAGAGAGUUUCCUUGCCUCAAUUGCCCUGCUAGCUAAAAUUCCAACAGAAUCUAACUGAGUAGAUUGAGAAGCCCCAACAAUUAAGAGAAAAAAUAGAGCCAGAGCAGAACACACUAUAGCCUACAUGUUUAAAGAGAAGAGCAGAAACGAACCUGUUUGCAGUAGAACUUAAAUAAAAAGCAGAACCUGAGCUGCCGGCGUUCGACCGUCAAUUUCGUGAAUCGCCGGGUCUUCCUGUUGAUUUCGUUGCGAUUUGAUCGAUUUGCCUGUUGGGCUCUUUGAGCACACCAAUUUAUGCGCUAUUCACGCGAAGAGAAUUUUAAAGGUUGCAUGAUAUCAAGCAGCAAUUGGAACGGAACUAAAACGGUUCUAUACUUCUAUUGAAGUGUUCAUUAACCAAUUUUAU